rnacentral:rRNA from 1 species
UGGGUAACCUGCCUCUUGCUCUGGGAUAACUCCGGGAAACCGGGGCUAAUACCGGAUAUUCAUUUCUGGCCGCAUGGCUGGUUGUGGAAAGUUUUUCGGCGAGAGAUGGACCCGCGGCCUAUCAGCUUGUUGGUGGGUGAUGGCCUACCAAGGCGACGACGGGUAGCCGGCCUGAGAGGGCGACCGGCCACACUGGGACUGAGACACGGCCCAGACUCCUACGGGAAGCA